GGGCCGAUAGCUCAGUUUGGGAGAGCGCCUGGUUCGCAAUCAGGAGGCCGGCGGUUCGAUCCCGCCUCGGUCCACCA
rnacentral:tRNA from 1 species